UCAGGCCUAACACAUGCAAGUCGAGCGGUAGCGGGAAGAGCUUGCUCUUUGCCGACGAGCGGCGGACGGGUGCGUAACACGUAGGAAUCUGCCUGGUAGUGGGGGAUAGCCCGGAGAAAUCCGGAUUAAUACCGCAUACGCCCUACGGGGGAAAGGAGGGGACUCUUCGGAGCCUUUCGCUAUCAGAUGAGCCUGCGUCGGAUUAGCUUGUUGGUGGGGUAAAGGCCUACCAAGGCGACGAUCCGUAGCUGGUCUGAGAGGAUGAUCAGCCACACUGGGACUGAGACACGGCCCAGACUCCUACGGGAGGCAGCAGUGGGGAAUAAUGCACAAUGGGCGAAAGCCUGAUGCAGCCAUGCCGCGUGUGUGAAGAAGGCCCUAGGGUUGUAAAGCACUUUCAGUGGGGAGGAAAGGUUGAAGGUUAAUACCCUUCAGCUGUGACGUUACCCACAGAAGAAGCACCGGCUAACUCCGUGCCAGCAGCCGCGGUAAUACGGAGGGUGCGAGCGUUAAUCGGAAUUACUGGGCGUAAGGCGUGCGUAGGCGGCCACCUAAGUUGGAUGUGAAAGCCCCGGGCUCAACCUGGGAACUGCAUCCAAAACUGGGUGGCUAGAGUACGGGAGAGGAGUGUGGAAUUUCCUGUGUAGCGGUGAAAUGCGUAGACAUAGGAAGGAACACCAGUGGCGAAGGCGACACUCUG
rnacentral:rRNA from 1 species